rnacentral:lncRNA from 1 species
GGGUGCCCCUAAUAUGGUCCCCAAAAUAAAAGGUCCACCGGUGGUCCUUUAGUUUUGACCUGCAACUACAAGUUACACCUUUUUUGGCUUUUCUUUUUUAUUUAUUUUUAUUUCAUUCAACUUUGUCUUCUUAUUUGUAUAUCUUUUGUUUUUACAUUUAUGCCCUUAACUCAAAUCUACCCAUUAGAUAUAUCUCACGCUUCACACCAUGCCAUAUGUCAACGUUUAUUGAUUAAAACACAGAAAAUCUAUAACAAAAAAAAAACACAGAAAAUCAAAAACGAUCUUCUUCAUAACCAAAAGUAACAGAGCUUCUCUUUGAAGCCUCAGUCGCCGACCUCUUUCAUACCCACUCAACAAAAGUCACAAACCACCGUCGCCAUUUGAAUCUAACUACUGCAACCGGUUUGAACGAGAUGGUGGUAACUGAUAUGGCUAUAGAUCUAACCACCACAAAUACUGAAAAAGCUUCUUCUACAUAAUUUCACCGCGUUUCACCACCAACGUUUGCAUAAUUUCGUCGCUUUCUAACAAGUGAGUAUUUCCAUCUUGUUUUUCAUUCAAACAAUGUUAAUUUUACAAUUGGUUUAUUGGGCGCAUGGCCAAAGGCCCCUGUCUCUUGUAUGAAUGGCGGUGGAACCCCGAUAAUGGUUCGAGUGUUUGCUUCCGCUUAUGUUAUAGCUCGCUGCAGGAUUGUUUUUGCUGCUGCUUUCUGUUUUGUCCUCUGUGUUGUAGUUUUCUGUUUUUAGAUGGAAUGUUUUUUGGUUGUUGAGUUUGGCCUUUUUUUGUGUUUUGGAUUUGGGUGAUCGGUCCCUCCUGUACUGGUUUACUAAACCUUUAACACCCCUUUGUGUUGUGG